GAGCACAUCCGUAGACCUUGCCUGACUGCCUAUAGUCAAGCAGGGGGGACAGUGUGUGCCAGAGGAAACAGAGCUUCUGUGAGCUAUGGCUAGCACCAUCAGUGGCUGGCUGCAUUGCAUUACUCUAACAUCU